AAUUUAUGAUGAAUAAUCUCUGCUAAGAUCACGCAACUUCUUAAUUUUUUCUCAAAAAUCUUCACAGGACCUAACCAACCUAACCAACGACGACCCACGGGAGACCUGGUAGUUUGUCCAUCAUUUUCUCCCUUAGUCUACGGGAACCACCGUUUAAACCAAUAGGACGCUCCAUACUCCCGAUGUCUUCUUUGUCUGCAUAUGGGGAAGAGCGUAAUUUUUCAAAUUAAAAAUUUGAGGUACACUUUAGGGUGCCCCCCCCCCCAAAAAAAAAAAAAAAAAAAUUCGACCCUCAAAAAGUUGCGUUUUCUGGACAAAAAAAAUUCCAUUUAAUUAAAAAACAACUUCGGCCAUGUUUCAGAAUUCCAGGUCAACGAAGCUGUCCGAAAAAUUUCCCUGAGAUUCCUUUGUGCUGCCAAUAAAAUUCAGUGAAAUUUCAAACAGAUUCAACCGACAAUUUUCUGUAAAAAAAUAGAAUGGCGGCGGAAAUAUUUGUCGCAUGGUGCUUCAGAUACUUUGGUUAGAGGGUAACGUAUUAAAUGACUUUAUGGUUCACUUGGUUAUCUCCAGCCACUGAGCUCCACCUGGAUGUUUCUCCAUGAACCCAUGAAGAUCGUAUAAUUUAUCGUGGAUGCGCCAAAGCCCCUCUGCCCCAUCGUCAGUCUGUUUGUCAUGGAGCCAAUUUUCUGUCGAAAUUAAAUUCCUCUUCCUGUAAGACGGGUCUUUCAGUUCUGGCCAGCUCCGCAAUUUUGUUUGAACCAUCGUGCAUCAGAGAUACUAAAAAAGAAACGUGUCACAUCAGUAAAGUGUCAACAAUCAAGAAACAAACACGACUAUCGACACUUGAAAAGAGAACUUGCGCACUUUUUCUUGGAGAAAGGUACUUCAUCCAAGAUAGCGCUAUAUACUAGAGUGAAAUCAAUGCUGCCUUGUGUGAGAUUGUAACAGAGGAAUUAAAAUAUACUGAUGGAAAAGUGAUUUUGUGGGAGAGCGGAGUAUACAGUUAGAAAGCAAAUGUGUCACUUUUGAUCACGGUGUGAUUUAA
rnacentral:lncRNA from 1 species